GCCUGGGUGGCUCAGCUGGUUAAGCAUCUGACUUCGGCUCAGGUCAUGAUCUCAUGGUUCGUGGGUUUGAGCCCCACAUCGGGCU
rnacentral:tRNA from 1 species